rnacentral:rRNA from 1 species
GCCGCGUGCAGGAAGACGGCCUUCUGGGUUGUAAACUGCUUUUUUCAGGGAAGAAAACGCCCUCGCGUGGGAGAUUGACGGUACCUGAAGAAUAAGCACCGGCUAACUCCGUGCCAGCAGCCGCGGUAAUACGGAGGGUGCAAGCGUUGUCCGGAUUUAUUGGGUUUAAAGGGUGCGUAGGCGGCUUUUUAAGUCAGUGGUGAAAUGCGGCAGCUCAACUGCCGGAGUGCCAUUGAUACUGAAAAGCUUGAGUAUAGAUGAGGCAGGCGGAAUUUAUGGUGUAGCG